rnacentral:rRNA from 1 species
UUUAUGGAGAGUUUGAUCCUGGCUCAGGAUGAACGCUGGCGGCGUGCCUAAUACAUGCAAGUCGAGCGAACGGACGAGAAGCUUGCUUCUCUGAUGUUAGCGGCGGACGGGUGAGUAACACGUGGAUAACCUACCUAUAAGACUGGGAUAACUUCGGGAAACCGGAGCUAAUACCGGAUAAUAUUUUGAACCGCAUGGUUCAAAAGUGAAAGACGGUCUUGCUGUCACUUAUAGAUGGAUCCGCGCUGCAUUAGCUAGUUGGUAAGGUAACGGCUUACCAAGGCAACGAUGCAUAGCCGACCUGAGAGGGUGAUCGGCCACACUGGAACUGAGACACGGUCCAGACUCCUACGGGAGGCAGCAGUAGGGAAUCUUCCGCAAUGGGCGAAAGCCUGACGGAGCAACGCCGCGUGAGUGAUGAAGGUCUUCGGAUCGUAAAACUCUGUUAUUAGGGAAGAACAUAUGUGUAAGUAACUGUGCACAUCUUGACGGUACCUAAUCAGAAAGCCACGGCUAACUACGUGCCAGCAGCCGCGGUAAUACGUAGGUGGCAAGCGUUAUCCGGAAUUAUUGGGCGUAAAGCGCGCGUAGGCGGUUUUUUAAGUCUGAUGUGAAAGCCCACGGCUCAACCGUGGAGGGUCAUUGGAAACUGGAAAACUUGAGUGCAGAAGAGGAAAGUGGAAUUCCAUGUGUAGCGGUGAAAUGCGCAGAGAUAUGGAGGAACACCAGUGGCGAAGGCGACUUUCUGGUCUGUAACUGACGCUGAUGUGCGAAAGCGUGGGGAUCAAACAGGAU